AGAAGUCAUCAAUGAUUAACCUUAACGGUUCGUUUUCUGCUCUUGAUGGAUUCUGGGUGCAGGAGAGAGGAAAGUGAUGACGAAUGACCCUUGGGCGUAUGAGGUACCCUUCGGAGUACGACAACAAAGAACCUGCCAUCAAGACUCCAGUUGGGGGCGUUAUGCGCCUCAUCGAUGCUUCGAUCUGUCCCUGAAAAGGAAGAGAGAGGACGCCUGACG
rnacentral:lncRNA from 1 species